GGUAAAAAAAUUUAAAGUUUUUUACUUUUUUUGAAAAAAAAAUAAAUGGAGUUGAUAAAGUUACUAAUAAACUGAAAAGGAAAUGUCUUUUUAAAAAAAAAGUAAAUUAAUGUACCUUUGGCAUAAGGGUUUUUCAAAAAAAAAUAAAAAUUUUAUUUUUCUCGAAAUUAAUAGAUCUAAAUUUUAUAGAAUUAAUUUGUUUUAAAAAAUUAAAAAAAUUUAAUUUAGAAGUGAAAUUCUUGUCAAAAUUAUUGAUAUCUAGUUUUAAUAAAAAAAUUAAAAAUUUUUCUAUUAAUUACUAAUUAUUUUAUUUUUAAUAGAAUAUUUUUUUAGGGAUAAGCUUAAAAAAUUUAAAACAAAAAGCUUUUUGUUUUGUUUUAAAAAAAGGAAUAAAAUCUUCCUUAUUAUUUUUAUAAAUAAUUUUAUUUAUUUUUAAAUAUAUUUUUUAUUUUUUUAAAAAUUAAAAAAAUUAAACUUUAAUCCAAAAAUGAAAAAAUUAGUAUAAUAUAAAAUCAUUUUUCAAAAAAAUGAAAUUAAAAUUUAAUAGAAAAUUAAAAUUAAAGAAUUCGGCAAAAAUUUUUUCUGACUGUUUAUUAAAAACAUUUUAUUUAGAAUUUUAAUUAAAUAUCAAUUCUGCUCAAUGAUUUAUUAAAUUGCUGUAGUAUUUUGACUAUACAAAGGUAUUGAAAUAAGACUUUAAUUGAGUGCUAAAAGAAUGGAUUAACAGAAAAAUUCUUUUUUAAUUUUAAAAAUUAAAAUUAUUUUUGUUAGUGAAGAAACUACAAUAAGAAUUAAGGACAAGAAGACCCUAAGAAUUUUGAAUAAUUUUAUUAUAAAAUAUAGUAAGAAUUAUUUUAAUUGGGGCGAUUAACAAAAAUAAAAAACUUUGUUUUUCUUUAAAAAAGAACCAUUAUUAUUGGUCUUAUGGAAAAAUACUCUAGGGAUAACAGCGUAAUAAUUUUUAAUAGUUCAUAUAGACAAAAUAGUUUGCGACCUCGAUGUUGGAUUAGGAUUCUUAGCUAAUGAAGAAGUUAGUUAAAGAAGUUUGUUCAACUUUUAAAUUCCUACAUGAUCUGAGUUUAGACCGAUGAGAAUCAGGUUGGUUUCUAUCUUAAUAAUAAUUUAAUUAUAAGCUAGUACGAAAGGAAUUCUUAUAAGAAAUUUUUUUUAAGAUAAGCAGUUUUUGCAUCAAUUUUUGGAAUU
rnacentral:rRNA from 1 species